rnacentral:piRNA from 1 species
UUUGAAGAUUUUUGGGAAUGUUAUAAGG